rnacentral:rRNA from 1 species
AUUGAACGCUGGCGGCAUGCCUUACACAUGCAAGUCGAACGGUAAUGGGCCUUCGGGUGCCGACGAGUGGCGAACGGGUGAGUAAUGUAUCGGAACGUACCUUUCAGUGGGGGAUAACGUAGCGAAAGUUACGCUAAUACCGCAUAUUCUGUGCGCAGGAAAGCAGGGGAUCGCAAGACCUUGCGCUGAUUGAGCGGCCGAUAUCAGAUUAGGUAGUUGGUGAGGUAAAGGCGCACCAAGGCGACGAUCUGUAGCGGGUCUGAGAGGAUGAUCCGCCACACUGGAACUGAGACACGGUCCAGACUCCUACGGGAGGCAGCAGUGGGGAAUUUUGGACAAUGGGGGCAACCCUGAUCCAGCCAUGCCGCGUGAGUGAAGAAGGCCUUCGGGUUGUAAAGCUCUUUCGGCCGGGAAGAAAUCGUAUCAGCUAAUACCUGGUGCGGAUGACGGUACCGGCAUAAGAAGCACCGGCUAACUACGUGCCAGCCGCCGCCGUAACAC